CGCGUAGGCGGCUUUAUAAGUCUGGAGUGAAAGUCCUCUUUUCAAGGGAGGAAUUGCUUUGGAAACUAUAGAGCUUGAGUGCAGGAGAGGUUAUCGGAAUUCCCGGUGUAGCGGUGAAAUGCGUAGAUAUCGGGAGGAACAUCGGUGGCGAAGGCGGGUAACUGGACUGCAACUGACGCUGAGGCGCGAAAGUGUGGGGAGCAAACAG
rnacentral:rRNA from 1 species